GCAAACGCCGGGCCUUUCCGAGGCGCGAGCGUCCCGAAAAGGAUGCCGAGCCGCCAGGUUUCCGGUCCGGCUUUCGGAUGCAAGAAUAAACACCUUUAAAAACAGUCACUUACGAUUUUCUGCU
rnacentral:sRNA from 1 species